GAUGAACUCUGGCGGCGUGCCUAAUACAUGCAAGUCGGACGCAAUGCUUCGGUAUUGAGUGGCGAACGGGUGAGUAAGACAUAAGCAACCUGCCCCUGUGAGGGGGAUAACUGCUGGAAACGGCAGCUAAGACCGCAUAGGCAUACAUGACGCAUGUCGAGUAUGUUAAAUAUCCCACGGGAUAGCACAGGGAUGGGCUUAUGACGCAUUAGCUAGCUGGUGAGGUAGAGGCUCACCAGGGCGACGAUGCGUAGCCGGCCUGAGAGGGUGGACGGCCACACUGGGACUGAGACACGGCCCAGACUCCUACGGGAGGCAGCAGUAGGGAAUUUUCGGCAAUGGGCGAAAGCCUGACCGAGCAACGCCGCGUGAAGGAAGAAGUCAUUCGUGAUGUAAACUUCUGUUAUAAAGGAAGAACGGCGCCUGUAGGGAAUGACAGGCGAGUGACGGUACUUUAUGAGGAAGCCACGGCUAACUACGUGCCAGCAGCCGCGGUAAUACGUAGGUGGCGAGCGUUAUCCGGAAUCAUUGGGCGUAAAGAGGGAGCAGGCGGCAGUGCAGGUCUGCGGUGAAAGCCCGAAGCUAAACUUCGGUAAGCCGUGGAAACCGCACAGCUAGAGAGCGUCAGAGGAUCGCGGAAUUCCAUGUGUAGCGGUGAAAUGCGUAGAUAUAUGGAGGAACACCAGUGGCGAAGGCGGCGGUCUGGGGUGCAGCUGACGCUCAGUCCCGAAAGCGUGGGGAGCAAAUAGGAUUAGAUACCCUAGUAGUCCACGCCGUAAACG
rnacentral:rRNA from 1 species